GGAAGUAAAAUCGUAACAAGGUUUCCGUAGGUGAACCUGCGGAAGGAUCAUUAUCGUACAAAAUGUGAGGGGCAUGCGAGGGCUGUCGCUGACUCAAAAGUCGUGCACGCCCGAGUGUGUCCUCUUGCAUAAUAAUCCAUCUCACCCUUUGUGCAUCACCGCGUGGGCACCCUUCGGGAUCAUCUCGGAGGGGGGCUCGCGUUUUCACACAAACCCCCCUUUUAAAAGUGUAGAAUGACCACAUUUAUGCAAUCAAUACAACUUUCAACAACGGAUCUCUUGGCUCUC
rnacentral:misc_RNA from 1 species